UGAAAUCAAUUUCAUGGGCUGCAGC
rnacentral:piRNA from 1 species